AUUUUUAGUUCUUACCCAAAGCAAGCCACACCUCUGAGCAUUGUAGGAGUGGGGAUGGGUUCAGCAUGUCUCCAUCCUUUCUUAAUCCUUUCACUGAUGUACUCAUUAGUGCUGGCACAGCGAUCAUCUGAUGCAUUCUCUUCCCUCCCAAGCACUUCCUUAAGCUCAGCAUUCACAUCCGUGCUGAACUAGGAGCCCAGCAGCGGGGACUCUCAAACGCUUGCCGGGUGCUGCCCAGCCAUGCUCCUGUUUGUGGCUGCUGGAUGCAGAGUCUCACGCGCUCCCUGCAGCUAACCACAUCUUUGUCGCCAGCCCUCAGUAAAAGCUGCAGAGUCAGGAACCGCGCCUUGCUUGAUAGUGCAUGAAAAUAGCCCCUCAAGUACAAGCCGCAGCGAUCGACAUGCUUUGUAUUCCCUGGCCAGAAAUAACUCUGCCAACAGCAGACUCAGAAGCUGUGAGACAGUUUCCUGGAGAUAAGAGAUAAAUCGGAGGGAAACCUGGCAAAAAGAUGAUGGUCAAGCUGCAAGAUAUCAUUUCCUCCAAAGCCCGUACAUACUAAUUAACCAUUCCAAGCAUAUUUUCAACAGCAUUUAGGGAUUUCCUCAUCAAAAUAAACUUCCUCCCAUGUUAUCUUCAUUUUUGACAUCCGGUGCUACGGUCUGAUAGAAGAAUCAGGGUUAGAAUUCUUAGUAUUGGGUUGUGUAUGUGUUUCUGUGUGUGUAUAUGCACAAGCACCCCCCACACACACAUACACGCACACGAUUGAAGCUUUGCCAGUAUUACUUAGGAAUUUUAAUGCCUCCUCCAAAGUCCUCUGUAGUCAGCAAGAGAUUUUCUGUUAACUUCAGUAGUAGCAGUAUCGAGCCUCUAUCCUUCCGCAACCAGAUUUUUUCAUUUAUGCCUUAUGACUUGUUUAUAACAAACUACAGAUGGGCUUGAGUCAUAAAGUUCAGAGUAUUUGGUUUAGAGGUUUUGCUUUGGGCCCAUCCCUUUAAUGUACUGCUUAUUCCAGACCUGCCUUUUAAAAGGAAAAUAUUGUCAGAAUGAAAGUGUAUGUGCAAUAAACAAACUUCUCAUUUC